UUAACGGCCCUUUUCAGGGCCACCAAAUUUAGAUCACUUAUUUACGU
rfam:Rhodnius prolixus Rhodnius_prolixus-3.0.3-144.15, whole genome shotgun sequence.